UCUACAGGCUUAACACAUGCAAGUCGAGGGGCAGCAGGAUCUAGCAAUAGAUUGCUGGCGACCGGCGCACGGGUGAGUAACACGUAUCCAACCUGCCGAUAACUCGGGGAUAGCCUUUCGAAAGAAAGAUUAAUACCCGAUAGUAUAAUCAGACCGCAUGGUUUGAUUAUUAAAGAAUUUCGGUUAUCGAUGGGGAUGCGUUCCAUUAGGCAGUUGGUGAGGUAACGGCUCACCAAACCUUCGAUGGAUAGGGGUUCUGAGAGGAAGGUCCCCCACAUUGGAACUGAGACACGGUCCAAACUCCUACGGGAGGCAGCAGUGAGGAAUAUUGGUCAAUGGACGCGAGUCUGAACCAGCCAAGUAGCGUGAAGGAUGACUGCCCUAUGGGUUGUAAACUUCUUUUAUAUGGGAAUAAAGUUUUCCACGUGUGGAAUUUUGUAUGUACCAUAUGAAUAAGGAUCGGCUAACUCCGUGCCAGCAGCCGCGGUAAUACGGAGGAUCCGAGCGUUAUCCGGAUUUAUUGGGUUUAAAGGGAGCGUAGGUGGACAGUUAAGUCAGUUGUGAAAGUUUGCGGCUCAACCGUAAAAUUGCAGUUGAUACUGGCUGUCUUGAGUACAGUAGAGGUGGGCGGAAUUCGUGGUGUAGCGGUGAAAUGCUUAGAUAUCACGAAGAACUCCGAUUGCGAAGGCAGCUCACUGGACUGCAACUGACACUGAUGCUCGAAAGUGUGGGUAUCAAACAGGAUUAGAUACCCUGGUAGUCCACACAGUAAACGAUGAAUACUCGCUGUUUGCGAUAUACAGUAAGCGGCCAAGCGAAAGCAUUAAGUAUUCCACCUGGGGAGUACGCCGGCAACGGUGAAACUCAAAGGAAUUGACGGGGGCCCGCACAAGCGGAGGAACAUGUGGUUUAAUUCGAUGAUACGCGAGGAACCUUACCCGGGCUUAAAUUGCAUUUGAAUAUAUUGGAAACAGUAUAGCCGUAAGGCAAAUGUGAAGGUGCUGCAUGGUUGUCGUCAGCUCGUGCCGUGAGGUGUCGGCUUAAGUGCCAUAACGAGCGCAACCCUUAUCUUUAGUUACUAACAGGUCAUGCUGAGGACUCUAGAGAGACUGCCGUCGUAAGAUGUGAGGAAGGUGGGGAUGACGUCAAAUCAGCACGGCCCUUACGUCCGGGGCUACACACGUGUUACAAUGGGGGGUACAGAAGGCAGCUACCUGGUGACAGGAUGCUAAUCCCAAAAGCCUCUCUCAGUUCGGAUCGAAGUCUGCAACCCGACUUCGUGAAGCUGGAUUCGCUAGUAAUCGCGCAUCAGCCAUGGCGCGGUGAAUACGUUCCCGGGCCUUGUACACACCGCCCGUCAAGCCAUGAAAGCCGGGGGUACCUGAAGUACGUAACCGCAAGGAGCGUCCUAGGGUAAAACUGGUAAUUG
rnacentral:rRNA from 1 species